rnacentral:rRNA from 1 species
UAAGCAUAUCAAUAAGCGGAGGAAAAGAAACUAACAAGGAUUCCCCUAGUAACUGCGAGUGAAGCGGGAAAAGCUCAAAUUUAGAAUCUGGCGGUCCUUGACUGUCCGAGUUGUAAUCUAGAGAAGUGUUACCUGUGCUGGACCAUGUAAAAGUCUCCUGGAAUGGAGCAUCAUAGAGGGUGAGAAUCCCGUCUUUGACAUGGACUACCUGUACAUUAUGGUGUGCUCUCGAAGAGUCGAGUUGUUUGGGAAUGCAGCUCAAAAUGGGUGGUAAAUGCCAUCUAAAGCUAAAUAUUGGCGAGAGACCGAUAGCGAACAAGUACCGUGAGGGAAAGAUGAAAAGAACUUUGGAAAGAGAGUUAAACAGUACGUGAAAUUGCUGAAAGGGAAACGCUUGAAGUCAGUCACAUUGGCUGGAAAUCAACCUAGCUUUUGCUUGGUGUACUUUCUAGUUGAUGGGUCAGCAUCAAUUUUGACCAUUGGAUAAAGUCUCUGGGAAUGUGGCAUCUUUGGAUGUGUUAUAGCCCUAAGUCGCAUACAGUGGUUGGGAUUGAGGAACUCAGCACGCCGCAAGGCCGGGUUUUUACCACGUUCGUGCUUAGGAUGCUGGCAUAAUGGCUUUAAUCGACCCGUCUUGAAACACGGACCAAGGAGUCUAACAUGCCUGCGAGUGUUUGGGUGGAAAACCCAUACGCGUAAUGAAAGUGAAAGUUGAGAUCCCUCUAGGGAGCAUUGACGCCCGGACCAGACCUUCUGUGACGGAUCCGCGGUAGAGCAUGUAUGUUGGGACCCGAAAGAUGGUGAACUAUGCCUGAAUAGGGUGAAGCCAGAGGAAACUCUGGUGGAGGCUCGUAGCGAUUCUGACGUGCAAAUCGAUCGUCAAAUUUGGGUAUAGGGGCGAAAGACUAAUCGAACCAUCUAGUAGCUGGUUCCUGCCGA